AAUCCCGUGAACCAUCGAGUUUUUGAACGCAAGUUGCGCCCGAAGCCUUCGGGCCGAGGGCACGCCUGCCUGGGCGUCACGCAUCGCGUCGCCCCCUCCACCCCGUCCUAGUAGGCGGGGGGGGCGGAGACUGGCCUCCCGUGCGCUCCCGUCGCGCGGCCGGCCC
rnacentral:rRNA from 1 species